rnacentral:rRNA from 1 species
AUUGAACGCUGGCGGCAGGCCUAACACAUGCAAGUCGAACGAGUGGCGGAAGGGUUAGUAAUGUCUGGGAAACUGCCUGAUGGAGGGGGAUAACUACUGGAAACGGUAGCUAAUACCGCAUACCAUCAGAUGUGCCCAGAUGGGCUGAGCUUGUUGGUGGGGUAACGGCUCACCAAGGCGACUAUCCCUAGCUGGUCGGAGAGGAUGACCAGUCACACUGGAACGGAGACACGGUCCAGACUCCUACGGGAGGCAGAAGUGGGGAAUAUUGCACAAUGGGCGCAAGCCGGAUACAGCCAUGCCGCGUGUAUGAAGAAGGCCUUCGGGUUGUAAAGUACUUUCAGCGGGGAGGCGUUACCCGCAGAAGAAGCACCGGCUAACUCCGUGCCAACAGCCGCGGUAAUUC